CUUGGUCAUUUAGAGGAAGUAAAAGUCGUAACAAGGUUUCCGUAGGUGAACCUGCGGAAGGAUCAUUCAUAAUAAGUGUUUUAUGGCACUUUUUUAAAUCCAUAUCCACCUUGUGUGCAAUGUCAGUCGAUCUUCUUUAUGGAGAUUGGCCAAACAUCAACCAUAUCUUUUAACUCUUUGUCUGAAAAAUAUUAUGAAUAAACAAUUCAAAAUACAACUUUCAACAACGGAUCUCUUGGCUCUCGCAUCGAUGAAGAACGCAGCGAAAUGCGAUACGUAAUGUGAAUUGCAGAAUUCAGUGAAUCAUCGAAUCUUUGAACGCAUAUUGCGCUCUUUGGUAUUCCGAAGAGCAUGCUUGUUUGAGUAUCAGUAAACACCUCAAAGCUUUUGAUUUUUUUUUGAAAGCUUUGGACUUGAGCAAUCCCAACACCAGUCUUUUUUAGAUCGGAGGCGGGUUGCUUGAAAUGCAGGUGCAGCUGGACAUUCUCCUGAGCUAAAAGCAUAUUCAUUUAGUCCCGUCAAACGGAUUAUUACUUUUGCUGCAGCUAACAUAAGGGAGUUUGACCGUAUUGGCUGACUGAUGCAGGAUUUCACAGGGGUCGGCAACGACGCUUGUUAAACUCGAUCUCAAAUCAAGUAAGACUACCCGCUGAACUUAAGCAUACCAAUAAGCGGAGGAAAAGAAACUAACAAGGAUUCCCCUAGUAACGGCGAGUGGAGCGGGAUGAGCUCAAAUUUAAAAUCUGGCUGGUUUACUAGUCCGAAUUGUAGUUUAUAGAAGCGUUUUCGGUGGCAGCCUGGGUAUAAAUCCUUUGGAAUAGGGUAUCAUAGAGGGUGAGAAUCCCGUCUUUGACUCAGUGCAUGCUACUAUGUGAUACGUUUUCAAAGAGUCGAGUUGUUUGGGAAU
rnacentral:sRNA from 1 species